rnacentral:rRNA from 1 species
AACCACUUCGGUGGGGAUUAGUGGCGAACGGGUGAGUAACACGUGGGCAAUCUGCCCUUCACUUCGGGACAAGCCCUGGAAACGGGGUCUAAUACCGGAUAUCACUUCCACGGGCAUCUGUGGGGGUUGAAAGCUCCGGCGGUGAAGGAUGAGCCCGCGGCCUAUCAGCUUGUUGGUGAGGUAGUGGCUCACCAAGGCGACGACGGGUAGCCGGCCUGAGAGGGCGACCGGCCACACUGGGACUGAGACACGGCCCAGACUCCUACGGGAGGCAGCAGUGGGGAAUAUUGCACAAUGGGCGAAAGCCUGAUGCAGCGACGCCGCGUGAGGGAUGACGGCCUUCGGGUUGUAAACCUCUUUCAGCAGGGAAGAAGCGAAAGUGACGGUACCUGCAGAAGAAGCGCCGGCUAACUACGUGC